AUAAACUUCACAUGCAAUUUCUAGCAUAUGGUGUUCACCCAAGUAAUAAUCUGCUAUUGUUAACCAGGUAUCAUCGAUGAAAAACAUGGGUCGUUUUCGCGUACUCUUCUUCAGGAUAAGCCUGAGAUCACGGAAGAAAUGAUUCGUGGGUAUAUGAGCAAUUCUGAACUUGAGACUGCUAUACAAGACUUUGGGUGGCGCUGUGCUAAUGUCUCUAGGAUAUACAGGACCCGAGCAUCAAGGAGAUGGCGGAGCAGAUCGCCAAGGACCCGUCCUUCAGCGAGAUGCCCCGUAAAUCUACUGUAUGAUCAAUCAAAACACGUUUUGUCCAAAGUCCAAACUUAAUGGUGUGAUAUUGUGGCAUAUUUACCCUGGAGCUAGCAUAUAUAUGGAGCUGACUUUGUUCCUGGAGGAGCAGACACAGAUGAGGAAUCUGCUACCUCAAAGCAGUUGAUCGACGCCGGGAGGGUGGGUACGUGAUGUCGGAGGCUGCCGGGAGGGUGGUGACGAGCUACCGAAGAGAUGAGUUCUGGCUCUCCUCGAUGCCAGGACGAGGCGCUGUU